GUGAUUGCUUCGCCAGUACAUAUACUAAAAUUGGAAGCAUACAGAGAUUGGCACAGCCUCUGUGCAAGGAUGACACACAAAUUCAUGAAGCAUUCCAUAAAAAA
ensembl:snRNA U6 U6 spliceosomal RNA